rnacentral:rRNA from 1 species
GUGGGGAAUAUUGGACAAUGGGCGAAAGCCUGAUCCAGCCAUGCCGCGUGUGUGAAGAAGGUCUUCGGAUUGUAAAGCACUUUAAGUUGGGAGGAAGGGCAGUAAGUUAAUACCUUGCUGUUUUGACGUUACCAACAGAAUAAGCACCGGCUAACUUCGUGCCAGCAGCCGCGGUAAUACGAAGGGUGCAAGCGUUAAUCGGAAUUACUGGGCGUAAAGCGCGCGUAGGUGGUUCAGCAAGUUGAAGGUGAAAUCCCCGGGCUCAACCUGGGAACUGCCUCCAAAACUACUGAGCUAGAGUACGGUAGAGGGUAGUGGAAUUUCCUGUGUAGCGGUGAAAUGCGUAGAUAUAGGAAGGAACACCAGUGGCGAAGGCGACUACCUGGACUGAUACUGACACUGAGGUGCGAAAGCGUGGGGUGCAAACAGGAUUAGAAACCCCGGUAGUCC